AAAAGUAACUAAGACAGUCUCCCUCUAGGUAGGUAUCAUUUUUAUCUCCUAGCACAUAAUCUUUUUUUCUUCAAGACAGGGUUUCUCUUUGUAGAGCAGGCUGACCUCGAAUUCACAGAGAUCUGACUGUCUCUGCUUCCCGAGUGCUGGGAUUAAAGGCAUGAGCUGACACUGCCCAGCUGCACAUAGUAAUUUUUAUCAGAGUCUACAAAGCACCUAUCAUGUUCAGGGCCUGGGCACAAGGGCAAGAAGUUGGAGCUGUUGCAAUCUAGAAGCUUGAAGGAACAGUCCUGCCUGCUCAGGAAAGGAUGCCUGGAGCUCCAGGCUUGCAGCCUCCCUUGUGCUGCUCACUGUGGGCAGAGCCCAGGAUGCUGGCAGCAGGUGAAAGGAACCAG
rnacentral:lncRNA from 1 species